rnacentral:rRNA from 1 species
GACGAACGCUGGCGGCGUGCUUAACACAUGCAAGUCGAACGGUAAGGCCCUUCGGGGUACACGAGUGGCGAACGGGUGAGUAACACGUGGGUGAUCUGCCCUGCACUUCGGGAUAAGCCCGGGAAACUGGGUCUAAUACCGGAUAGGACCACUGCCUGCAUGGGUGGUGGCGGAAAGCUUUUGCGGUGUGGGAUGGGCCCGCGGCCUAUCAGCUUGUUGGUGGGGUGAUGGCCUACCAAGGCGACGACGGGUAGCCGGCCUGAGAGGGUGACCGGCGACACUGGGACUGAGAUACGGCCCAGACUCCUACGGGAGGCAGCAGUGGGGAAUAUUGCACAAUGGGCGCAAGCCUGAUGCAGCGACGCCGCGUGAGGGAUGACGGCCUUCGGGUUGUAAACCUCUUUCAGCACCGACGAAGCGCAAGUGACGGUAGGUGCAGAAGAAGGACCGGCCAACUACGUGCCAGCCGCCGCCGUAA